rnacentral:rRNA from 4 species
CCUCGGAUCAGGUAGGAAUACCCGCUGAACUUAAGCAUAU